rnacentral:Y_RNA from 1 species
GGCUCGUCUGCUGGUAGUGGGUUAUCACAACUUAUUGACAUUAGUGUCACUAAAAUUGGUAUACAAACCCCACUGCUAAAUUUGUUUA